rnacentral:tRNA from 1 species
UGUGGCUCAGUGGCAGAGCACUUGCCUAGAAUGCACCAGGCCCUGGGUUCCAUUCCCAGCA